UACGGGGGGAGCAAGCGUUGUUCGGAUUUACUGGGCGUAAAGGGCGCGUAGGCGGUCAGCACAAGUCAGUUGUGAAAUCUCCGGGCUUAACUCGGAAAGGUUAACUGAUACUGUGCGACUAGAGUGCAGAAGGGGCAACUGGAAUUCUCGGUGUAGCGGUGAAAUGCGUAGAUAUCGAGAGGAACACCUGCGGCGAAGGCGGGUUGCUGGGCUGACACUGACGCUGAUGCGCGAAAGCCAGGGGAGCGGACGGG
rnacentral:rRNA from 1 species